rnacentral:lncRNA from 1 species
CAUCAUCCCAACACCUCUCCUGGAACUUCCCUCAGCAGGCUCUGAACGUUUGGAGAACCUUCUCUCACACUUAGAUCUGCAGGAGCUGGCACCUGGGAGGACACUAGGAAUUACCCUACCAACUAACCCUUGAGGUGGAAACUACUGACCCCGCUAUAAGUACAGCUCAGGCUGGGCCAGAAAGAG